rnacentral:rRNA from 1 species
UACGUAGGGGGCUAGCGUUGUCCGGAAUCAUUGGGCGUAAAGCGCGUGUAGGCGGUUCGGUAAGUCUGCUGUGAAAGUCGGGGGCUCAACCCUUGAAUGCCGGUGGAUACUGCAGGGCUAGAGUCCGGAAGAGGCGAGUGGAAUUCCUGGUGUAGCGGUGAAAUGCGCAGAUAUCAGGAGGAACACCAAUGGCGAAGGCAGCACUCUGGGACGUGACUGACGCUGAGACGCGAAAGCGUGGGGAGCAAACAGG